GAUGAACGCUGGCGGCGUGCUUAACACAUGCAAGUCGAACGGAAAGGCCCAAGCUUGCUUGGGUACUCGAGUGGCGAACGGGUGAGUAACACGUGGGUGAUCUGCCCUGCACUUCGGGAUAAGCCUGGGAAACUGGGUCUAAUACCGGAUAGGACCACUUCUUGGAUGUUGUGGUGGAAAGUUUUUUCGGUGUGGGAUGAGCUUGCGGCCUAUCAGCUUGUUGGUGGGGUAAUGGCCUACCAAGGCGUCGACGGGUAGCCGGCCUGAGAGGGUGUACGGCCACAUUGGGACUGAGAUACGGCCCAGACUCCUACGGGAGGCAGCAGUGGGGAAUAUUGCACAAUGGGCGCAAGCCUGAUGCAGCGACGCCGCGUGGGGGAUGACGGCCUUCGGGUUGUAAACUCCUUUCGCUAGGGACGAAGCGUUUUGUGACGGUACCUGGAGAAGAAGCACCGGCUAACUACGUG
rnacentral:rRNA from 1 species